GCGUGGUACAUCAUAGAUAUUCAAUGAAGUUUUUUGGAUAAAGUAAUGAAAGAGUAAGUGGUACAAUUUGGAUCCCAGAGUCCCAAGGGUUAUUUCCCAUCUUGGUGAUCUUAGGAGAUGGUGUGGGACCUUUAAGAGGUGGGGCCUAGUGGGAGAUCUCAGGUAACUGACAGGGUGGCCUCAAGGGGCAUGGUAGGAAUCCAAUCCCGUCCCAUUGCUGUCUUUGGUGUCCUGGCCAUGAAGUGAAUGGUUUAGUCAUGUGCUCCCACUCUGAUGUGCUGCCUUGCCACAGGCCCAACUGACCACAGACAGCCCUCCAAAACUACCAGCGAUGUUAGCCCACCAGAGCAUGAAUCACGGAUCUAGAGAAACGCAACAUCGCCAUCAGCCCAGGUUCAAGGCGCAGAGCCACGCGCCCCCGGUGGGAAGGGCUGCACUGUCGCACUUACACAGAUGACCCGCAGAGAUUCCCAGUUUCAAGACGCAACAAAAAGGCCUCCAGGAAGUGAAGCCGGCAGCUCACUGCUAUGUGUUUAAACUGUAAUUUUCCACUGCCAAAACAAAGAGCAUCCAAAGAGUCCGGUGGAUUUGGGAGAAAAGCCUCCUUCUCCCGGAAGUCGGCCAGAGCCGAGGUCCCGGAGCUGCGCCGCCCCCGGUUUCGCGGGGAGGCUGGGCAUGCACGACAGCCAAGGACGCCCGGGCUGUGGGGCCAGAGAAGUACCAGCAUGGCCUCUCAAGACCCAGAUGUAGAAGUUCUCACAGGUUUCCUUGAGAUUUGGACAACAAAAAAGGAGAGGGAAAGCGAGACAAAUUGGGAUAUUGCAAGACUGGUUACUGCCAGAGUUGAUCCAAGAAGUGCACAAGAGGAGACCUCCGGGCUGGCGUACCACCCCACCAACACACAGGAGGUGAGCCGCACGGGUGCCAGCAGCAACCCCCCCCCCAAUCGAAAUGAGAAGACACGUAAACAAGUCUCAAAACCAGCCUUGCAGAUCACCUACAGCAACUCCAAAGGGAAACGAGAUGGAACACUCUGAUACUCAACCACCUGGACUCCCUGAACUAGCAACAAAAGAGGAUCUGGAAAGAAUGAAAUCAGAAAUAACUUCUCAGAUAACAGCAGAGAUUGUGCU
rnacentral:lncRNA from 1 species